UCUAGGUGCAGUGGUGCUCACCUGUAAGCCUAGCUACUUGGGAGGCUGAGGCAGGAGGAUUAUAAGUUUGAGGUCUGCCUCAGAACUUAGACCUUGCCUCAA
rnacentral:sRNA from 1 species